AGGACGAACGCUGGCGGCGUGCUUAACACAUGCAAGUCGAGCGGUAAGGCCUUUCGGGGUACACGAGCGGCGAACGGGUGAGUAACACGUGGGUGAUCUGCCCUGCACUUCGGGAUAAGCCUGGGAAACUGGGUCUAAUACCGGGUAUGACCUCAGGUUGCAUGACUUGGGGUGAAAGAUUUAUCGGUGCAGGAUGGGCCCGCGGCCUAUCAGCUUGUUGGUGGGGUAACGCCUACCAAGGCGACGACGGGUAGCCGACCUGAGAGGGUGACCGGCCACACUGGGACUGAGACACGGCCCAGACUCCUACGGGAGGCAGCAGUGGGGAAUAUUGCACAAUGGGCGAAAGCCUGAUGCAGCGACGCCGCGUGAGGGAUGACGGCCUUCGGGUUGUAAACCUCUUUCAGCAGGACGAAGCGCAAGUGACGGUACCUGCAGAAGAAGCGCCGGCUAACUACGUGCCAGCAGCCG
rnacentral:rRNA from 1 species